AAUGUGAGGAAGUAAACAGAGAGAGAGAGAGAGAGAGAGAGAGAGAGAGAGAGAGAGAGAGAGACUAUUAAUACUAUUACUAUUCCAGAUGGGGGAGAGAAUAGUGAAGGAGAGUGACUGUUACUUCUACUACUACUCCUCUUGCUCUAAGGGAGAGAGCUGCAACUUUCGCCAUGAACCUUCAGCCCUUCGUAACGAGACAGUCUGUGUGUACUGGAAGAGUGGGAAAUGUACUCGAGACAAAUGCAUUUUUCGACACAUGGAUAUCACCAGGCGGGUGAGAGCGACCUGGUGGUGUUGAGGCACGAAAUAACACCAAACUGGCCGGACGGAUCCACUGAAGUCAAGGGAAUCACACUGGUCGAAUACGGAAAUCCCAACGGGUGAGAGAGUGAGAGGGGAGUGAGUGAGAGUGAGAGGGGAGUGGGU